rnacentral:rRNA from 1 species
UACCUGGUUGAUCCUGCCAGUAGUCAUAUGCUUGUCUCAAAGAUUAAGCCAUGCAUGUCUAAGUUUAAGCAAUAAACAGUGAAACUGCGAAUGGCUCAUUAAAUCAGUCAUAGUUUAUUUGAUGGUACCUUACUACAUGGAUAACUGUGGUAAUUCUAGAGCUAAUACAUGCUGAAAAAUCCCGACUUCUGGAAGGGAUGUAUUUAUUAGAUCCAAAACCAAUGGCCUUCGGGUCCCUAUGGUGAAUCAUGAUAACUGCUCGAAUCGCAUGGCCUUGCGCCGGCGAUGCUUCAUUCAAAUAUCUACCCUAUCAACUUUCGAUGGUAGGAUAGAGGCCUACCAUGGUGAUGACGGGUAACGGGGAAUAAGGGUUCGAUUCCGGAGAGAGGGCCUGAGAAACGGCCCUCAGGUCUAAGGACACGCAGCAGGCGCGCAAAUUAUCCCCUGGCAACACUUUGCCGAGAUAGUGACAAUAAAUAACAAUGCAGGGCUCUUACGGGUCUUGCAAUUGGAAUGAGUACAAUUUAAAUCCCUUAACGAGGAUCAAUUGGAGGGCAAGUCUGGUGCCAGCAGCCGCGGUAAUUCCAGCUCCAAUAGCGUAUAUUAAAAUUGUUGCCGUUAAAAAGCUCGUAGUCGAACUUCGGGCUCUGUCAGCCGGUCCGCCUUCUUGGUGUGUACUUGUUUGACGGAGCCUUACCUCCUGGUGAACGGCAAUGUCCUUUACUGGGUGUCGUCGCAAACCAGGACUUUUACUUUGAAAAAAUUAGAGUGUUCAAAGCAGGCCUUUGCCCGAAUACAUUAGCAUGGAAUAAUAAAAUAGGACGCGCGUUCCCAUUUUGUUGGUUUCUGAGAUCGCCGUAAUGAUUAAUAGGGAUAGUUGGGGGCAUUUGUAUUCCGUCGUCAGAGGUGAAAUUCUUGGAUUGCCGGAAGACAAACUACUGCGAAAGCAUUUGCCAAGGAUGUUUUCAUUGAUCAAAACGAAGGGAAGGGGGAUCGAAAACGAUUAGAUAACCGUUGUAGUCUCUUCUGUAACUAUGCCAAAUUGGGGAUCGGGUACAGGAUUUUUAAUGACUGGUUCGGCACCCGAAAAGAUCUUUAAUAUGUUUGUGGGGGGGGAGGAUUGGGUCCCCCGGCGGAAACUUAAAAGGAUUUGCGGAAGGGCCACCCCACUGUGGAGCCUGGGGCUUAUUUGUUACACCCGGGGAAUCACACGGCGCAACACAAAAGGAUAGGCAUUGGAGCCUUUCUGAUCUUUGGGUUGGGGGCAGGCGGCCCUUACUUGGGAGAGAUUUUUUGUUAUUCUAAAAAAAAAACUACCCGUAAAAACCCCGCUUGGGCGUGUUCUUUAGGAAACCUUUCUAGGAAUAGGAAACGUGGGUCUAUUUGCGCCCCCGAAACCGGCUCUCCAGGAGUAGAUCCGAGAAGUUUUUUAAAAUUUUAAAAUGGUUUUACGUAACUCGCCAUUGAUGCCGGACAAACUCCCCCGGGGUUUACUCUACU